rnacentral:rRNA from 1 species
GACGGAGGGCGCAAACGUUGUUCGGAAUCACUGGGCGUAAAGGGCGCGUAGGCGGGCCGGUAAGUCGAGGGUGAAAUUCCAGGGCUCAACUCUGGAACUGCCUUCGAAACUGUCGGCCUAGAGUGCAGGAGAGGAAGGCGGAAUUCCAGGUGUAGCGGUGGAAUGCGUAGAUAUCUGGAAGAACACCAGUGGCGAAGGCGCCUUCUGGACUGACACUGACGCUGAUGCGCGAAAGCUGGGGGAGCAAACAGG